rnacentral:lncRNA from 1 species
CCCCCGAACAGCUAAUAGUGUAAGUCUCAAGAAAUUCUAGAGGUGGGUUUACAGGUAACGGAAACGUUUUAAACCCGUGCUCCCAGCGAUUUCUUAUGCCUGCCAUUUACAGCCUACUCACAGACUCAGCCGUGUACAUGUCGGUCGCUCAUACCUAGUUUUCCAAGUAUCAACUUUUACAAUUUAUUGUAGGUCAUUCGUAUUAAGUCAUUAAUACAUAUUCACAUGCUUAAUGUUGCUGGACUUUUAAGGAAAGAAAACAGCUUACUGUGAUUUAUCCCACCUCUCAACGCGCCCCCUUCCCCCCCGCCCUCCUUUCGCCACCCCAUUUAGUCAGGUUUAAGGGUUUGAAGCCCUGCUUUGGCUUAAAACAGCCUUUCGAGGGGUAACCUGCAUCUCCCUGCUCGGGCAGAGCUCGAAGUCAAAGGCUGCUUGGCCUGAGGACAGAGGACGGCGCUUAGAGGCUUUGGGAAAUAGCUGCAUUGUGACACUAACAACAGCUUGUAGAAGUAGAUCACUCGCUUUCUAAACGUAGAUGACACUUUUUCCCUUUCUGUAUUUAAACUUUCACCAAGCUGGUUUUGAAUUUAGUUACCAGAAAGAGUGUGAGUGGUGGUGUUUUGAUUGCCAGAGGUUUCAAACAGCUCAGUUGAGUAGUUCGUGUUUACUGUGCACCGAACGAGACGAUUUUUCUAAUUUCAAAACAAGCAGCAGAGAACCUUUGUCAGAGGCAGGAGGAUGUGAGGGCUGCGAGACAACACGUUUUCUGGUCGCUUCAUAAACUGAGUGCGGUUUAGAUGCUCUUUAAGAAAUAUUUGCUUUCCACCAACUGUUCUGUUUUGCCUGAAAAUAAACUAUUUUAAUGACAGAUGCGCCUCACAAAGCAGGAAUAUUGGAAUACAGUGACAUUUAGGAAGCAGCGCAUUUAAUAUUCGGGAAAAUAUGUUAUUGCUUGCGCCUAAAACACAAUUUAACUAUUGAAAUUUUUCCAUUGCAAUACAGCUGAGAGGGUGCACCAGACUCCUUUACUUCUCCAGCUACAGUGUUAGGAGCUAUGGACACUUAGCACCGCACUGGAAGGAGUUUAGUAUAUAACUUUUAACUUUUGUACAGGAUCCAGUUGUUGGACAGCUGGGCAGUUUAAAGUGCUUUAUUCUGAAUAGCCUAAAUUUUAAUUGCGCAAAAUAGAAGGUUUUAAAUCGAUGUGAAAUGAACUGUACUGAAAAUAGCGCUUAAAAGAGGAGGGGGUGUACAUUAGUUUAGAUUUUAACUCUUUAAAAAUAAGGAGAUUUUUAGCCCCCAAAUUCAGUUACUACCGUUUAUCAAGUAAAAAGUAAUCGCUGAAGCUGCCUGUCACGUUUACCAUCCGCUCUGUCACACUGCUGUGUUUUCUGAUUAAAAACCUCUGUGAAA